rnacentral:rRNA from 1 species
CGGCGGACGGGUGAGUAACGCGUGGGUAACCUGCCUCAUACAGGGGGAUAACAGUUGGAAACGGCUGCUAAUACCGCAUAAGCGCACAGUACCGCAUGGUACGGUGUGAAAAACCCCGGUGGUAUGAGAUGGACCCGCGUCUGAUUAGGUAGUUGGUGGGGUAACGGCCUACCAAGCCGACGAUCAGUAGCCGACCUGAGAGGGUGACCGGCCACAUUGGGACUGAGACACGGCCCAA